rnacentral:rRNA from 1 species
CUUCCCAAUUAACUUGUUUCUAGUAAAGGCUAUUGAGUUAGUGGAACAUUAGCCUUAGCGAUGGAUCGGUUGAUUCGCGUAUCGAUGAAAAACGCAGCAAGCUGCGUUAUUUGCCACGAAUUGCAGACGCUUAGAGUGGUGAAAUUUUGAACGCACAGCGCCGUUGGGUUUUCCCUUCGGCACGUCUGGCUCAGGGUUGUUUAA